UACGUAGGGUGCAAGCGUUAUCCGGAAUUAUUGGGCGUAAAGAGCUCGUAGGCGGUUUGUCACGUCUGCUGUGAAAACUGGAGGCUCAACCUCCAGCCUGCAGUGGGGACGGGCAGACUAGAGUGCGGUAGGGGAGAUUGGAAUUCCUGGUGUAGCGGUGGAAUGCGCAGAUAUCAGGAGGAACACCGAUGGCGAAGGCAGAUCUCUGGGCCGUAACUGACGCUGAGGAGCGAAAGCGUGGGGAGCGAACAGG
rnacentral:rRNA from 1 species